AAUUUUUGUCAAUGGGGGAAACCCUGAACAAGCAACGCCGCGUGAAGGACGAAGACCUUCGGGUUGUAAACUUCUGUCGGAGGGGACGAAGGCAGUCAUGGUUAAUACCCAUGAUUGUUGACGGUACCCUACGAGGAAGCCCCGGCUAACUCCGUGCCAGCAGCCGCGGUAAUACGGGGGGGGCAAGCGUUGUUCGGAAUUACUGGGCGUAAAGGGCGCGCAGGCGGGCGGGACAGUCUCUCGUGAAAGCCCACGGCUCAACCGUGGAAUUGCGGGAGAUACUACUCGUCUUGAGUCCGGGAGAGGAGUGUGGAAUUCCCAGUGUAGCGGUGAAAUGCGUAGAUAUUGGGAGGAACACCGGUGGCGAAGGCGGCACUCUGGACCGGUACUGACGCUGAGGCGCGAAAGCCAGGGGAGCAAACGGGAUUAGAUACCCCGGUAGUCCUGGCUGUA
rnacentral:rRNA from 1 species